UGGGGAAUAUUGCACAAUGGGCGCAAGCCUGAUGCAGCCAUGCCGCGUGUGUGAAGAAGGCCUUCGGGUUGUAAAGCACUUUUAGCGGGGAGGAAGGCGGUGAGGUUAAUAACCUCAUCGAUUGACGUUACCCGCAGAAGAAGCACCGGCUAACUCCGUGCCAGCAGCCGCGGUAAUACGGAGGGUGCAAGCGUUAAUCGGAAUUACUGGGCGUAAAGCGCACGCAGGCGGUCUGUCAAGUCGGAUGUGAAAUCCCCGGGCUCAACCUGGGAACUGCAUUCGAAACUGGCAGGCUAGAGUAUGGUAGAGGGGGGUAGAAUUCCAGGUGUAGCGGUGAAAUGCGUAGAGAUCUGGAGGAAUACCGGUGGCGAAGGCGGCCCCCUGGACAAAGACUGACGCUCAGGUGCGAAAGCGUGGGGAGCAAACAGG
rnacentral:rRNA from 1 species